AGAGUUUGAUCAUGGCUCAGAUUGAACGCUGGCGGCAGGCCUAACACAUGCAAGUCGAACGGUAACAGGAAGCAGCUUGCUGCUUCGCUGACGAGUGGCGGACGGGUGAGUAAUGUCUGGGAAACUGCCUGAUGGAGGGGGAUAACUACUGGAAACGGUAGCUAAUACCGCAUAACGUCGCAAGACCAAAGAGGGGGACCUUCGGGCCUCUUGCCAUCGGAUGUGCCCAGAUGGGAUUAGCUUGUUGGUGGGGUAACGGCUCACCAAGGCGACGAUCCCUAGCUGGUCUGAGAGGAUGACCAGCCACACUGGAACUGAGACACGGUCCAGACUCCUACGGGAGGCAGCAGUGGGGAAUAUUGCACAAUGGGCGCAAGCCUGAUGCAGCCAUGCCGCGUGUAUGAAGAAGGCCUUCGGGUUGUAAAGUACUUUCAGCGGGGAGGAAGGGAGUAAAGUUAAUACCUUUGCUCAUUGACGUUACCCGCAGAAGAAGCACCGGCUAACUCCGUGCCAGCAGCCGCGGUAAUACGGAGGGUGCAAGCGUUAAUCGGAAUUACUGGGCGUAAAGCGCACGCAGGCGGUUUGUUAAGUCAGAUGUGAAAUCCCCGGGCUCAACCUGGGAACUGCAUCUGAUACUGGCAAGCUUGAGUCUCGUAGAGGGGGGUAGAAUUCCAGGUGUAGCGGUGAAAUGCGUAGAGAUCUGGAGGAAUACCGGUGGCGAAGGCGGCCCCCUGGACGAAGACUGACGCUCAGGUGCGAAAGCGUGGGGAGCAAACAGGAUUAGAUACCCUGGUAGUCCACGCCGUAAACGAUGUCGACUUGGAGGUUGUGCCCUUGAGGCGUGGCUUCCGGAGCUAACGCGUUAAGUCGACCGCCUGGGGAGUACGGCCGCAAGGUUAAAACUCAAAUGAAUUGACGGGGGCCCGCACAAGCGGUGGAGCAUGUGGUUUAAUUCGAUGCAACGCGAAGAACCUUACCUGGUCUUGACAUCCACGGAAGUUUUCAGAGAUGAGAAUGUGCCUUCGGGAACCGUGAGACAGGUGCUGCAUGGCUGUCGUCAGCUCGUGUUGUGAAAUGUUGGGUUAAGUCCCGCAACGAGCGCAACCCUUAUCCUUUGUUGCCAGCGGUCCGGCCGGGAACUCAAAGGAGACUGCCAGUGAUAAACUGGAGGAAGGUGGGGAUGACGUCAAGUCAUCAUGGCCCUUACGACCAGGGCUACACACGUGCUACAAUGGCGCAUACAAAGAGAAGCGACCUCGCGAGAGCAAGCGGACCUCAUAAAGUGCGUCGUAGUCCGGAUUGGAGUCUGCAACUCGACUCCAUGAAGUCGGAAUCGCUAGUAAUCGUGGAUCAGAAUGCCACGGUGAAUACGUUCCCGGGCCUUGUACACACCGCCCGUCACACCAUGGGAGUGGGUUGCAAAAGAAGUAGGUAGCUUAACCUUCGGGAGGGCGCUUACCACUUUGUGAUUCAUGACUGGGGUGAAGUCGUAACAAGGUAACCGUAGGGGAACCUGCGGUUG
rnacentral:rRNA from 20 species